ACAAUGAAGAGUUUGAUCCUGGCUCAGGAUGAACGCUAGCGGCAGGCCUAACACAUGCAAGUCGAACGGUAACAUAGAGAAGCUUGCUUCUUUGAUGACGAGUGGCGCACGGGUGCGUAACGCGUAUACAAUCUACCUUUUACAGGGGGAUAGCCUUUAGAAAUGAAGAUUAAUACCCCAUAGUAUAUAUUAAUGGCAUCGUUAAUAUAUUAAAGUUUCGGCGGUAAAAGAUGAGUAUGCGUUCUAUUAGCUAGAUGGUGUGGUAACGGCACACCAUGGCAACGAUAGAUAGGGGCCCUGAGAGGGGGAUCCCCCACACUGGUACUGAGACACGGACCAGACUCCUACGGGAGGCAGCAGUGAGGAAUAUUGGACAAUGGGCGCAAGCCUGAUCCAGCCAUGCCGCGUGCAGGAAGACUGCCCUAUGGGUUGUAAACUGCUUUUAUACAGGAAGAAACCGCUCUACGUGUAGAGCUCUGACGGUACUGUAAGAAUAAGGAUCGGCUAACUCCGUGCCAGCAGCCGCGGUAAUACGGAGGAUCCAAGCGUUAUCCGGAAUCAUUGGGUUUAAAGGGUCCGUAGGUGGAUAAUUAAGUCAGAGGUGAAAGUCUGCAGCUCAACUGUAGAAUUGCCUUUGAUACUGGUUAUCUUGAGUUAUUAUGAAGUAGUUAGAAUAUGUAGUGUAGCGGUGAAAUGCAUAGAUAUUACAUAGAAUACCAAUUGCGAAGGCAGAUUACUAAUAAUAUACUGACACUGAUGGACGAAAGCGUGGGGAGCGAACAGGAUUAGAUACCCUGGUAGUCCACGCCGUAAACGAUGGUUACUAGCUGUUCGGACUUCGGUCUGAGUGGCUAAGCGAAAGUGAUAAGUAACCCACCUGGGGAGUACGUUCGCAAGAAUGAAACUCAAAGGAAUUGACGGGGGCCCGCACAAGCGGUGGAGCAUGUGGUUUAAUUCGAUGAUACGCGAGGAACCUUACCAGGGCUUAAAUGCAGUACGACAGGUCUAGAGAUAG
rnacentral:rRNA from 1 species